GCCUACAUCACAAAAGCUGAUAGUACACUUUCUGUUGGAAGAAUGGUCCACCCCCUAUAAGCAGUUUCACCAUGAAGACCUCAGAUGAUCCAACCAACACCGCACAGGAAAUACGGAAAAUGGGAACACAGUCAUGAAACUCAUCCGUGCCCACACUUCUUUCAUUUCGUCUCUGUCAGGAUUUAUUUUGAGAGGGAAAAGUUCAAAGAAGCUGUUUCUCAAAAUCUAGUACAUAAUUCCAUGUGAUUGCACUCAAAACUGUUCUUGAAAGAUUGGACCUCAGAAUAAAACAAUGCAGGAUGAAGAAAACUCCCAUCG
rnacentral:lncRNA from 1 species